rnacentral:lncRNA from 1 species
AUUGUCAUGUUAACCAUACAAUUUAAAUAAAUAAAUACAUACAUACAAUACUGUCUUUUAUAGGUGUGCCAGGUGGGUGCAGAAUCUCAGGAAUGCAUCUUUGAUGGGGAUAAGCUUUCAGCGGCUCCAUCACAACUAUAGGGUGUGCAGUGCACAUUUUCACACUAGCCAGUUUAAGAGACCAUCUAAUGUCCAUGCAGGAUUGAAAUGGGAUGCAGUGCCCACAAUGGUUAAUGCUCCUACCCCACCACCCCCACUGGACUUGGUGUUAAAGAGAAAGCCACCAAAGACGCGUCAGGAGUUACCACCAAAGAGACGUAAAAAAAGUAAUAUUGUUUACCUGCCAAAUACAGGCUCAUCCACUGCAGACAGUGUUCAACAACCCACUGGCUCAGAGACCAAUAUUACCUCUCCUGAUGCUUCUGUAGCAAGACCUUCGAUAUCACUGACUCCACUGUUGCCCCCAAUGUCAUUGCCAACAGGCCUUGAAGCUGCUGCCAGAGAACAUGCCCUGAAGAUGAAGAUUAGGAGUCUGAAGGUACAGGUGUGCAAACUAAAGGCGGAAGUGAACAGGCUGAAGAAGUCCAGGAAGGCCUGUGUUAAUAAGGAGUCAGUGAUGAAGCAGUUGAAGAAACUCUUACCAGCCAAAGCAUAUGCUUUUGUGAGUACACAGAUACAUAUGUUUCAGCGGAAGGCUGAUGGUUUUCGGUGGACCACUCAGGACAAAGCUUUCUUCUUGUCUCUGCUACAUGACAGUCCAAAGUGUUGCAGGUUGCUGUUUAAAGCGUUUUCUAUGCCAUCUGUCCACACACUGCAGAAGCUUAUGAAGGCUAUCGAUAUUGAGAAGACUAUUGGCGAACACAGCUAUGCUAGAGUGAUUACUGACUGUAAAGUAGAUGAAACGGUCACCGUAUAUGCAUAUCCACCAGUCACUGCUAAUGCGGAAGCCAAAGCUGAACAGGUGGAGCAGCCAAUAGACUAUACACUUGACCACCAGUUUGAUUCCCACCAAAUAUCUUCUUUUAGUUCUGGAGAUCAUGAACAGUGAUGCUGUGCUGGAGUCUGAUGUGAGGGUGUUCUACCAAAUCAUUUCCUGGACCUGCUGAGUGACAUGAGAUGAGGCCACCAAGUUUAGCAGCAUUUGCCUUUGACCAUGAUGGAAGUGUACUGGUUUACAUAGCUGGGUAUAUGGCCAGUAAGGUUGUGGGGAAAUUCGCAGUCAGUGAAGAUGGUCCCUGCAAGGAGUGUAAAAUCUUGAACACAGAUAUCCCUGCUGAUUCACAUUACGCACUCCUCAAGGACAAGCAGUACACUAACCUCAAUUUAGGAGAGAAGAGCCUUAAAGUGCCCAGCAUGGCACUGGUGGAUUUAGUCAUAUCUCUGGAGUCUAGCUUCCGAAGACAGAAAUAAAGAUCAGCUCAGUUAUCCACACAGUUAGGCUGGGUGGGAAGCUAUUUACCAGUAGGAUGGUGAUUGUGAGUGAGUGCAGGGGAGUAGUGUGUGACACGGAGAAGUGCAAAAAGUCACUCACCUACAUGGUUACUCUUUAUACAGAUCAGAAUCCAAAAUUGGCAAAUCUCACAGCCAAAUUAGAGGCACAAUAGAAAAUUUCUCAACUUAGUCAUGUUGUAUUGUCUUGUAUAUGUUUUAUGUUAUCAGUUGUGGAAUCCAACCAUUAAGUACACAUUUAAGGUAGGUUUAGCCUACUUUGAGUAUUUCCCUUUUAUGCAACUCUACACUUUUACUAUUACUCCACUAGGUAUGAAAUAUAUAUUGUACGUUUUAAUCCCCUGGAACACACUGCAAACAUGAUGCAUUGCUGUGUCUGUAAUAAUUGAAUAAUUAAUUUGAGACUGGCUGUAAAAAAAAAAGUUGUUUUUGUUUACAUUCUUGCUUUAACGUUAACAUUAAUAUAAGACAAUACUGCAAAAACAGUUUACUGUCAAGCUUUUAUAAUCCUGUUGUCCAACAUUCCCAGUUUUUCCAAUGCA